CUGUACCUCAAGCCCGGCUUGUGUGUUGGGCCUACCGUCCCCUUGGACGGUGACCUGAAAGGCAGUGGCGGCGUCGCGUCCCGGUCCUUGAAGCGUAUGGGGCUUUGUCACCCGCUUGGAGGCCGGCCGACCCCGUAGCCCAUCGUGGAUCUUCCACAAUUUUUUUCCU
rnacentral:misc_RNA from 1 species